rnacentral:rRNA from 1 species
CCCGGGAGGGGAGUGAAAUAGAUCCUGAAACCGCAUGCAUACAAACAGUCGGAGCCUGGAAACGGGUGACGGCGUACCUUUUGUAUAAUGGGUCAGCGACUUACAUUCAGUGGCAAGCUUAACCGAUUAGGGAAGGCGUAGCGAAAGCGAGUCCGAAUAGGGCGUUCAGUCGCUGGGUGUAGACCCGAAACCAAGUGAUCUAUCCAUGGCCAGGUUGAAGGUGCGGUAACACGUACUGGAGGACCGAACCCACUAACGUUGAAAAGUUAGUGGAUGAGCUGUGGAUAGGGGUGAAAGGCUAAACAAACUUGGAAAUAGCUGGUUCUCUCCGAAAACUAUUUAGGUAGUGCCUCGUGUCUCACCUUCGGGGGUAGAGCAC